rnacentral:misc_RNA from 1 species
GAAAGGCCAGAAUUCCUCGAGUAUCUCUUAAACUCCUUGCUCUUCUGUAAUCUAUCUCUGCAUCCGAACAGGACCGGCUUGAUGGAAUUCCCUUGCUGCUUUGGAUCUCUGAGGCCUUCGUAAAUGUCUGAUCACAGCAGUCCCCAGCAUGGCUUCCUCUAUCUGUAACUCCAUUGAUCAGCUCAACUUUCGGGCUCUCCAU